ensembl:lncRNA
GCCAGGGGCACCUCUGGUGUGGCAGAAGGAAAUGGGAACCCUCACAUCUCGUGGCUGCCGGGUGAUUGAAUUACUCAGAUAUGAAGAUCAUCUUCUAGGUUUUGUGUAAAAGGCCCCGGAUAUUUCAAGUGGCCAUUUUGGAAUUACAAUGUUUUUGGAUAAUUUUAUCCCAGAAGUUUAUUAAAAUUGGCAAGAAUCAUCUCUGAAGUGAAUUGAUAGUAGUGAACAAUUCUGCAAGCUACUUAAAAAGAGAUCCAGGCAUUUCUUCAGUAUUUUGGUUCAAACGGAUUAUAUAACUGGUUUAAAGUGUUUCAGCUGGUGGUAUUUUUGCCUCCCCCCAACCCCUCCCCUGUGUUCUUCAGCCAAAACUGUAAGAUAUGUUUGAUUUGUGUACUGAGUAGUUUCGGCAGUUUCGAAUUACUGUUUAAAUAUUGCUGAAGUUUCAUGGCAGUUUAUUUUUACCUUUAUUAAAAGUUUUAGGAAUUUUUGAUCUCAGUCCUUUUCAUGUCACAAUGGGACAGCUUUUCUAAAUGAAGACAUUGAAUGAAUACAGUUUUUUUGCUUUUAUCUUUUAUUUACGUGGAAAUUUAAGAUGUGGCAGUUUCACAGCAGCAUGGUAGUAUUGAGAUAGCUGUGUCUUGUUUAUGCUGAUGUUUAGGAAUGCUCUUCAGAUGUGAAAUUUUCUUUUUGUUUUUUCUUUUUGACUCAUAAAUUGGAUUAUUUCAUCUGGAGUGGAUAACAGUGACAAGUACAUGGAAUAAUAAAGAAGACUUUAAAAUCUUAAAAUCCAAGGAACUUGGCUAAUUCUGGCGAUAGCCAUAUGAAAACUUUAAAACAGAAGUAUGGGUAGCUGACUGAAGUAACUCUAUGUCAAAUAGCCAUAGGUUAAGUGUCUUCAAAGAACUUGGAUAUUAUUUCAGAGGAUACAAAAUAAAAAAACAAACUGGAAAACAUAAAGAUUACAGAGACAAAGCCAACACCUUCCUGUGCAGUCCUGUUGGAAUUUAUUGUUCCUUAAGUUCCAGAAAGUUUCAAAAAGUCGUUACUACGAAUAGAAACAGAGGAAGAGAAGGUACACUAAGAACCUUUAACUUAAAAAAAAAAAAAAAAAAAAGUAUACAUUUUCUGCCUCCAGAAGGUAAUGUUGCCUUAAGUUAUAAAGAAAUGUUGGUUAAAAAAAAGGNNNNNNNNNNNNNNNNNNNNNNNNNNNNNNNNNNNNNNNNNNNNNNNNNNNNNNNNNNNNNNNNNNNNNNNNNNNNNNNNNNNNNNNNNNNNNNNNNNNAUUUUGGUUAAAAAAAAGGUUGUGAAUAUUAAUUGCUGUAAUAAAAAUCCUUUAACAAAAGAGUAUCAUCUUUUAAUUGUUUAUUUGAGGAUUGACUGGUAUUAUGAUUUGUUACUGCAUUUAAUUUUUUUUUAGUGAGUCAUAGGCAUUCAGUAGAAGUGUUUGUUUUUAAAAAAUUGACUAAAAUUUAUUUUUGAAGCAGUUUAUAUUAACAGAUGAAUGUAGCUAAAGUUGAGUGUUAUUUUUUUUCACUUAAUUAUCUGAGAUUAAAAAAUACCGUAAUAUUUGCACACUUUGCCAGGAUAGCCUAAUAACUGGUCAUCUGGCUCAUUUAUUGUUUUGUUGUUAUGCUGUUGAGUCCUGUUAGCUCCCUUAAAGCAGGAGAGGUAGGAGAGUCCAAAAGAUGGUAGGUAUUUAAACAUACGGGGUAUUUUAUUUUCUGAUACAAAAUUGAGAUUAGAGUUAAAUAAAUCUGUCAGAAAAGGAUAGGAUAUUUCUUGUGUUCUCUCUCAGAGCUUUGUGUAGUACUUCUAAUUGAGUUUCCACCUUGAUUUAUAUAAACCUGUGAUGAGAACAACCCUCCUUCUGCCCUUUUCUUUGCUUCAGAGAGCCUGGAUUUUAUAUAUUCCUUAAACUUAGUGGGUUUUCAAGGUACUUAUCUAAGAACAUGCAUUUUGAAUGUGAUUAGGAAUUUGAACUGGAACUGAAUGGCCU